AUACGGAGGAUUCGAGCGUUAUCCGGAUUUAUUGGGUUUAAAGGGAGCGUAGGCGGACUAUUAAGUCAGCUGUGAAAGUUUGCGGCUCAACCGUAAAAUUGCAGUUGAUACUGGUCGUCUUGAGUGCAGUAGAGGUAGGCGGAAUUCGUGGUGUAGCGGUGGAAUGCUUAGAUAUCACGAAGAACUCCGAUUGCGAAGGCAGCUUACUGGACUGUAACUGACGCUGAUGCUCGAAAGUGUGGGUAUCAAACAGGAUUAGAUACCCUGGUAGUCCACACAGUAAACGAUGAAUACUCGCUGUUUGCGAUAUACAGCAAGCGGCCAAGCGAAAGCAUUAAGUAUUCCACCUGGGGAGUACGCCGGCAACGGUGAAACUCAAAUGAAUUGACGGGG
rnacentral:rRNA from 1 species